rnacentral:rRNA from 1 species
UGGCGGACGGGUGAGUAACGCGUGGGUAACCUGCCCCAUACCGGGGGAUACCACCUGGAAACAGGUGCUAAUACCGCAUAAGCGCACGGGAGCGCAUGCUCCUGUGUGAAAAACUCCGGUGGUAUGGGAUGGACCCGCGUCUGAUUAGCCAGUUGGCAGGGUAACGGCCUACCAAAGCGACGAUCAGUAGCCGGCCUGAGAGGGUGGACGGCCACAUUGGGACUGAGACACGGCCCAAACUCCUACGGAAGGCAGCAG